rnacentral:rRNA from 1 species
CAGUAGCCGCGGUAAUACAGAGGUGCCAAGCGUUAGGCGGAAUCACUGGGCUUAAAGCGUGUGUAGGCGGUCUUCUAAGUACCUUGUGAAAUCCCACGGCUCAACCGUGGAACUGCUUGGUAUACUGGGAGACUUGAGCCACUUAGGGGUCAGCGGAACAAAUGGUGGAGCGGUGAAAUGCGUAGAUAUCAUUUGGAACGCCAAUGGUGAAAACAGCUGACUGGGAGUGUGCUGACGCUGAGACACGAAAGCCAGGGUAGCGAACGGGAUUAGAGACCCCUGUAGUCCCUGUCUCUUAUAC